AGAUGGUAGGAGAGCGUUCUGUAAGCCUGCGAAGGUGUCUUGUAAAGGAUGCUGGAGGUAUCAGAAGUGCGAAUGCUGACAUGAGUAGCGAUAAUGCGGGUGAAAAGCCCGCACGCCGUAAGCCCAAGGUUUCCUGUUCAACGUUCAUCGGAGCAGGGUGAGUCGGCCCCUAAGGCGAGGCAGAGAGGCGUAGCUGAUGGGAAGCAGGUUAAUAUUCCUGCACCGUCGUUAGAUGCGAUGGGGGGACGGAUCGCG
rfam:Cajanus cajan Scaffold106466_1, whole genome shotgun sequence.